UACAGAGGUCUCAAGCGUUGUUCGGAUUUAUUGGGCGUAAAGGGCGUGUAGGCGGCGCCGUAAGUCGGGUGUGAAAUUUCGGAGCUUAACUCCGAAACUGCAUUCGAUACUGCGGUGCUUGAGGACUGGAGAGGAGACUGGAAUUCAUGGUGUAGCAGUGAAAUGCGUAGAGAUCAUGAGGAAGACCAGUGGCGAAGGCGGGUCUCUGGACAGUUCCUGACGCUGAGACACGAAAGCCAGGGGAGCAAACGGG
rnacentral:rRNA from 1 species